UGGAUGGUCCCGCGGCGUAUUAGCUAGAUGGUGGGGUAACGGCUCACCAUGGCAAUGAUACGUAGCCGACCUGAGAGGGUAAUCGGCCACAUUGGGACUGAGACACGGCCCAAACUCCUACGGGAGGCAGCAGUAGGGAAUCUUCCACAAUGGACGAAAGUCUGAUGGAGCAACGCCGCGUGAGUGAAGAAGGGUUUCGGCUCGUAAAACUCUGUUGUUAAAGAAGUAACAUAUCUGAGAGUAACUGUUCAGGUAUUGACGGUAUUUAACCAGAAAGCCACGGCUAACUACGUGCCAGCAGCCGCGGUAAUACGUAGGUGGCAAGCGUUGUCCGGAUUUAUUGGGCGUAAAGCGAGCGCAGGCGGUUUUUUAAGUCUGAUGUGAAAGCCUUCGGCUCAACCGAAGAAGUGCAUCGGAAACUGGGAAACUUGAGUGCAGAAGAGGACAGUGGAACUCCAUGUGUAGCGGUGAAAUGCGUAGAUAUAUGGAAGAACACCAGUGGCGAAAGCGGCUGUCUGGUCUGUAACUGA
rnacentral:rRNA from 2 species